AUCGUAGUACAAUUGAUUCCGUAGGUGAACCUGUUGAAGCAUCAUUAUCGUUAGACCGAGGUGCGAGGGCUUGCGCUGACCUUUUCGGUCGUGCACGCCCGAGUGCUCUCACACAAUCCAUCUCACCCCUUGUGCUCCACCGCGUGGGUCCCUCUCUGGCUCGUCCGGAGGGGGGCUCGCGUUUUCACACAAACUUGAAGUAGUGUAGAAUGUCCUUUUUUGCGAAAACACGCAAUCAAUACAACCUUCAACAACUGAUCUCUUGGCUCUCGCAUCGAUGAAGAAUGCAGCGAAAUGCGAUACGUAAUCUGAAUAGCAGAAUUCAGUGAAUCAUCGAAUCUUUGAACGCACCUUGCGCCCCUUGGCAUCCCGGGGGGCACACCCGUUUGAGUGUCGUGAAAUUCUCAAAACCCUUUCUUUUGGUCCUUUUUGACCAUGGAAAGGAUUUUGGACUUGGAGGCCUUAUUGCUGGUUUCAACCUUGCUGCGAGCUCCUCCCAAAUGUAUUAGUGGGGUCUGCAUUGUCGGUCCUGGGGGUGAUAAGUUGUUUCUACGUCUUGGAUUUUUGGCGCUGUACACCUGCUUCUAACCGUCUCUCAUUGACAACGAUGGUGUUCCGGUCGCCGCCGAUUUUUCGGUGGGAGGCUUGACCCACGAUAACAAACCUUGACCUCAAAUCGGGUGAGACUACCCGCUGAACUUAAACAUAACACUGGAUCGUUCAGU
rnacentral:rRNA from 1 species